GAUGAACGCUGGCGGCGUGCUUAACACAUGCAAGUCGAACGAAGCACCUUGAUUCGAUUCUUCGGAUGAAGAUCUUGGUGACUGAGUGGCGGACGGGUGAGUAACGCGUGGGUAACCUGCCUCAUACAGGGGGAUAACAGUUAGAAAUGACUGCUAAUACCGCAUAAGACCACAGCACCGCAUGGUGCAGGGGUAAAAACUCCGGUGGUAUGAGAUGGACCCGCGUCUGAUUAGGUAGUUGGUGGGGUAACGGCCUACCAAGCCGACGAUCAGUAGCCGACCUGAGAGGGUGACCGGCCACAUUGGGACUGAGACACGGCCCAAACUCCUACGGGAGGCAGCAGUGGGGAAUAUUGCACAAUGGGGGAAACCCUGAUGCAGCGACGCCGCGUGAGCGAUGAAGUAUUUCGGGAUGUAAAGCUCUAUCAGCAGGGAAGAAAAUGACGGUACCUGACUAAGAAGCACCGGCUAAAUACGUG
rnacentral:rRNA from 1 species